GGAGGCGAGACUCAGCAGUUUGGACAGUGAAAGUUUGCGGUGCUGGGGUCGUGGGUUCGACUCCCACCGCCUCCUCCA
rnacentral:tRNA from 1 species